GAGCAGUCCCUUCAUGAAACCACAGCAGAUGUUUCUCAGUCCUUUCAUUUUCUUUUUUCAGAGGAAUUGUAAUCGGCUGCGCUUUAAUUAGGAUCUCCCCGAGGAUACUUCGGCUUUCUUCCACACCCGGGAGUUUGCAGAUUCCCUCUUAGUGCACCAGGCUGAUUAGAUUUCUUAAUUCCCUAAAAUAUGCUGUCUCGAAGCCUAAUACCCCUGUAGGGAUGAGGUCUGUUUCUCUGCCUCUCCUCCCAUUACAGUGCUAAAUCCAGGCAGUGGUCUCCCUUACGGCACUUGCUUCUUCCCUGGCUCCGGACCCCUUUUUUGGAUGGGUAAGUGGUCUCUUAAAAGCAACCUCUCUUUGCAUGAACAGCCUCACGGAAGCUGAAAAGUGCCCUCUGCACAGAUUUUUAAAGUCCUCUCCUGGGCACUAGGUUGGCACCAGUCUCCUGAGUUGGAUCUAAAUUGGGGUGGAUACCUAGCAUAAGCCUUGUUCAGGUUUAGUUGUAGCUUCUCAUUUAUUCACAGUGAAUUAUUGCAUGAAUUUUUAUUGUGCUACUGACAUGUGCCGUGGCGAUAUAAUGGCUAACAUCGUUCCUAAUUUCAUGGAAAUGACAGAGAUCAAUAAGUGAAAAGAUAAUUGAAUCCCAUGUGAUGCUGUGAAAAGUGCUUUGCACAAAGCACGACUCCUUGGCAGGUGUUUAAGUCUUUGAGGUACAGAGAAAGAUUUAUGGGAAAAGCAACGUCUAAAUUGAGACUUGAAUAGUAAGUAAGAGUUUUUGGAAGACUGAGAAUGGGAUGAGAAGGUAUGGUAGAAGAGAGGAGAGCAUUCUAGGCAAAGGGAGGACCCUAAGGUAAGAGACAGUGAGGCUUGUCCUGGGACCUGCAAAAAACUCUUUGUUGCUGGAGUGCAGUGCAAUGAGCAGGGAACUAGGGCUAGAGGGAGCGGAAUGAGGAGUGUUGAGAGAUGAAGAUGGAAAGGUAGGCAGGUGCCAGAGCAUGCAGGAACUUGUGAGUCUUGUGAAGUCAUUUGUGCUGCAUCAGGUAGAGGUGGGUACCCUCCCUUAUUUCUUUAAUAGUGUGGAGAUUAGCACCUGGCACAUCCCAGGAAUUGGGAAAGCCGCUGAGUACUCACACUGUAGUUAAGGCUGGUCCUGGCAGCAGAUGCCACUGAAACCUAAAACAUACACCAUCUCUGCUCUUUGAAGCCUGCAAACCUUCUGACAAAGAAGCAGCCUUGAAAAGACAAAAUGGAUCCAGCAGGGAAUUAGACAGAAAAUAUUUACAGACUCGGUGAACCAAGAGCUGGGUGUUCCGGGCUGUUGAAGAAAAUGGAGUAAUGGGAUAGAAGCUGCUUUCAACUUCCUGCUGAGGACCCAAGGCCAGGAAAAAAGAAAAUUUUUGGAUAUCAGAAAUCAGAACAGGCCUGGAGUUGGGGAAUAAAUUAGGAAAGACACGGACUCAAGCAAAGGAAGACAUCAGAAGUAGAGGUUGGCCAAAGGACAAAACUACAAAGCAGCAAUUGCAGAUUGAAUCAAAUCAUCAGCUACUGGACAUUACAACAUUCACCAUGGAGAGUAACAAUAAUAUGCAUUUAUCAGAACUUCACUAUGUGCCAGGCACAACAUUUUAUGGAAGAUGAACAGGUAGAUAGACAAACAGAUAUGAGUACAUAGCUAGGUAAGUUGGUAGAUAGGUAGCAGGAUUCUCUGUCUCCCUAUUCCUUCUGGUAAGAAGAUAAAAGCUAAUGACUUCAAAAGCAUAACUGUGCAUUCAAUAUUCAUAGAAAGGGUCUGUGUGUGGUAGGAAAGAGACACA
rnacentral:lncRNA from 1 species